UACGUAGGGUGCGAGCGUUGUCCGGAAUUACUGGGCGUAAAGAGCUCGUAGGUGGUUUGUCGCGUUGUCCGUGAAAACUCACAGCUUAACUGUGGGCGUGCGGGCGAUACGGGCAGACUGGAGUACUGCAGGGGAGACUGGAAUUCCUGGUGUAGCGGUGGAAUGCGCAGAUAUCAGGAGGAACACCGAUGGCGAAGGCAGUGUUCUGGGCCAGUACUGACGCUGAGGAGCGAAAGCGUGGGGAGCAAACAGG
rnacentral:rRNA from 1 species